GAGAGCAUUUCUGCCCAGGGGAAGAACACAGCCCUCCACAGAACACACAGGGCACAGGAUGAUAUGAGGCCCUGUGGCCUGUGCUUUGCUCCUCCUCAGCUUCUGCUGAGUGAACGGGGCCCAGAGUUUGGCGAGCAGCUGGGGAGGUCUGCCCAGAUGGCUCUCUGGGCGCGAGCAGGUGCGAUGCCUUCCGGCACCAGACAGAGUGAAGGGGACCCUCAGGAAAAGCAGAGAUCCACAAAACAGCACCUACUUCACAGCCUCGGUCCUGAGCGUCAGUGUGUGAGACCCCUUAGUACUGCCAGUCUUGGGAUAUACUCAGGCCUCUUGGCUAUUUUUAGGCACUAUUUCCGUCUUUCUCCAAACACAGCUGUUUGUUUAGAGGAAGGGCCACAGCUUCUACCAGGAACCUUUUCCUGGUUCUGCUGGCUCCUCAGUCCCAGGCUAUCCUGUCAUCCCACUAUACACACAGAAAAUGCACACGUGCACUCGUGCACACACACACACACACACACACAGCACUAGCCUCAUGAAACAUAUAGAGGGGAGGGGCAUCUCAGGACUCCUCUAGAAAAUAUCUCCUUGUGGCAGGAAGCACCAACGCUGAGUAACCCAACCUGCCAGACCUAAGCCGCUACCAGGAAAUGUUCCCAGAAGCGGCUUCAGGCUGCAGUGGUGAUGCAAGGUGGCUCUCUGGAUGUAGCAGUUAUCCCUGGAGAAAAGCAAGGACUGCACCUGUCACUGGUGUCCUGCUCCUCUUUCCUCGUCCCUACAUGCCCUGGGCCAUCAGUCCCAGCCAGUACUAGAGAUAGAUGCCUGGCUUUACAUUUUGCUUCCUUUCCUGUAUACAGAGAAUCCCAGCUGGUUGAAUGUUGUACAUCCUGGAAUUGCCCCGAGUUAAGUGUUUGUGAAUUUCAGCUCACCAAAACACAGGCUGGAGUCAUCCCUAGAUUCCAAACCCCAGCUCUACCCCUAUGGCUGGGAGAGUUUGGGCAAAGUACUUUAAUUGCUUAGAGCCUAUUUCCAUGUCUGUAAAAAAAGAUCAAAAUAGGUUAAUAGAAGCCGUUUCAAAGAGCUGUCGAGGGGAUUCAGUGAGAUGAUAUUUAUAAACAUCUGGCACCUUGCCCAGCCGCUCAUAGUGGGUCCUUAGUGGGUUGAUGAACUUUCUAUUGCUGUGUCAAUUACCCAUUUUAUGUUUGGUUUAUGUUCCUCUCCAUACUUCCUAUCAAAAAAUUCAGAGUUUCUUAUUAAAACCAGGGCUCCUCUGGGCACUGGCUCUCUAUUUAUUCCCCUUGUAACAAGAGAAAAUAUUAGGUGAGCAGGUUGCUAUCUAUGCAGACCCAUCCUUUGUGAGGCAGGUAUAUCGUUAUUAUCCCCAGUUAAGUGGGGAUAAGACUGUGGUUAAGUGACUUGCCCAAGGUUAUACGUGCAGUGCAUGGCAGAGGCAGAGUUUGGACGUGGGCAGACUGGUUCCAGAACCACCACCUUGAACCUGUUUGCCACAACAUCUGUAACUGGUUCAGUGGGCCUCUGAUACCACCACUGGGGGCUUUUCCUGAACCUCAGAUAGACUUGCAUGAUCCUUGCUUCCCUACAAUCUGGUUUUCAAUUAGCCACACUGAAUGCAUGAUUUGGUAAUGAUAGCUACCACUGAGGCAGCGCCUACCUGUUUUAUGCCAGACAUUUUGUAUAUGUUAUCUCUAAGAUUUUCUCAACCUCAGCUCUAUGGACAUUUGGGGCCAGAUAGUUCUUUGCUGUGGGGGUGCUAUCUGUGCAUUGUAGGAUGUUGAACAGUAUCCUCCGCCGUUUCCACUAAGCACUUCUCACCCCUUGUCUUAAAUGUCACCAAAUAUUCCCGGGGUGGGGGUGGGGGCAAAAUCCCUCCUAGUGGAGAACUACUGCUCUAAACGAGAAAUCUGAAGUUCAGAGAGGUUAAAUGAUUUUCCCAAGGUCACAAGGCUGGCAGGCAGCAGAGACAUGAUCUGAACCAAGGUUUGCCUGAUACCACGACCACGUAUUUGUCACUGUAUCGUGCUCUCUCCGGGUUCUAAAUAAGGAAGGUGUGAACCUGAUACCGAAAUCUAUUUGCCCAGAAGCAAUAGCGUCAAUAUACUCUGACUCCCCGCCCCCAAGACUGUUCAAAUUCUGAACUUACAGCCUCCGGCUGCUACUUAUCUGAACGGAAUCUAGAUCUUAGAUUUUUGGAGCUAUAUCAACUGAGACCUAGGCCACUCUGCUGAGCCUAGGAAUUGAAGCUCUCCUUUACAGUCCUGUGUCCCCUGAGUAUGCCACGCAGCUUGGUUUGGGCGUAUGCCACGCUGGUUCUUCUGGAGCCUUGGGAAGGCUGAGGUCUUGGGAAAUAAGGGCGGCUCUCUGUUACUUGUCUCUGGCUACUGUCUAGAAAAAUGCUGGGGACAGAAUCACAACUUACAACUUCUGCCUGAGUUUCAUCUCCCCCUGGUUCCGAAUUCAUUUAUUAAAAUCUUUAUGGACAUAAAAGGAACUGAAUUUGCAAAUGACACCGCUUCCUGUGACACAGAAAGAUGUGUCAUUGAAGACAGACUGACAGAUACAUCAAUACAAAGUCGCAUACAGGAGCUCUAAUUCAUAGCAGAACUGAAACCACCCCAAGCCUAGGUUUCUUCCAUCAUUUUUAUUCUCUAGCCUUUUCCUCUUCUCUGCUGGACCCUGCUGGGCACAGACAUAGGUACUUACCACUGUUAACGCACUGUGUGUUAGGAAAGAGGAACCACUUUCCAUAUGGCCCUCUUUGUGCAUAGAUAAAACAACAACUAAAAGUAAAUUCUUCAAGGCAGCUAAAUAAGUCAUCACAAAGAGCAGGUUCAGUGUCAGAGCCACCUUGCUUUCCUUUAUGAGGGAAAUGAUAGCUAACAGUAGCUGUUACUUAUGUUAGUGAUGUCCAGACGCCUUGGUAACCAGAGUAACCCUGUGGCCAGUCGCUGCCAUCUCGCUGUCCCCCAAAAGGCCCCCAUAGUGUUCCUAGAGUCAUCACAGAAGAAUCUUCAUUAUGAGAUCACAAAAUUAACAAUCUCCAAACAAGUCAGUGGGGAGAUGGUAGCAAAGGGGAUGAAUGAGAGUUCCUGUUUCUCCACAUCCUUGCCAGCACUUGGCGAUGUCAGUGCUUUGGAUUUGGGCCAUUCUACCAGGCCCUUGGAAGGGAAGUGAUCGCCUUCCUGCCCCUUCCCACGACCUGGACUGGAAAGGGCUGAUCCCUCAGGGAAGGACUAUGUAUAACCUGGCAGGAAAGGAGCUUGUGAGAGCACAUGAGGGAUGUGAGUGAGUAUAAAAUAAAUAAGUGGGUCGGCUUGUGAGUGUGUGUGUGUGUCUGUGUGCGCGUGUGUGAGUGUGUGUGUAUGCAUCCGUGUGCGUGAGUGUAUGGACUCAAUGUCACAACUUCUUCCCUGCUCUCCACCCCUAUUUACUCUUCUAUUACUUCCUGCUCAUCUUAUGACUGGGAAGCAGAGUAUAAAGACAUUGAAUAGUCAAUAACUGUACCCAGAACUAAAACACAACACAUACAACACAUGUGUAUCCAGAACAUAACACAAUGUAAAGCCAAGAGGCAUGAAAGUUCAGGCAACACCCUCCUCACAGGAAACUAGUAUAGUGUGUGGCUCUACGUACCACAUUUGGGAGCCUGGCUCAACUACCAAUCAGCUUUGUGGUUUCAUCUUUCUGUGCCUCAGUUUCCUCAUAUUUAGGCUGAUAAAGAUGAUAUCUAUUUGAUAGACUCACUCUGAGGAUUAAAUGAAUUAAACUCAUAAGAUAUCUCUAUCAGAGCCUGGCACAGAGUAGACCAGUUGAAUAAACAUCAACUAUUAUUAUCAUUGUAUCUAAAGGCAUCCACCUACCCCUAGCUCUAAACUUCAGUUUCCUUUUGUGCCAAUCCCUUACAUUUCAUCUGUUUAAAGAGAAAUCACACACACACAAAAUCUGUCACACAGAGUUUUAGCAGAAAAAAACAAUUUAUCAUUUUUGAAAUUUUCCCAGAAAGAGGGCCAGAGCCCUCUGAUUAGACCUGAUUAGAUCCUGUAAGCAGUAGGCACAGAAAUCCUUCUGGACUUUGGAAACCAGAUGGGCACUUAUUCAACACAUUCCUGUAUGGGGUAGUUUACAAAAUUCAAUGAACACAGCAAAAGAACCCAGCAGUCCAGGAACUCACCUACCUAAAAUGGUCAGCAUAGGCAGGGCAAAUAAUUAAGGUGAGGUCAAAGUGUUUGAUGCUCCUUGUUCUACUGAAAGUCAUUAUUUGCAUAUUGCUGAAUGAUUCACCGAGGCCAAGUGCUAACGAUGGCCUGAUAACUCCCAUUCAGGAUGUGCUUGUUUUCUUGCCUUCAUAAUAAUGACUGACUAGUAUUUUAUUCUCAAGACCAAUGUGUCCCAAAGGAAGAGAAUCAAAAAGAUGUGUCUCCAAAUAAGAGAAUCAGAAAGAAAUCAAAAAGAUGAUGGCCAUUGGGCUCUAGAGAUCCAGCUGCCUUCUCCCAGCUUCUGAACGCACAACAGCCCCAUUGUGCAUGGAGAAAAAUUGAACUGAAGCUUUCCUGAAAGCAUAUUUGAACUUGGACCUCCAGUGCAUAGAUUAGCAGCCAGCUUCCAGCCAAAGCACCCCCUCCUCUCCUCUCCAUCUUUGCAAGAGAAUUUAGCUCCAUUUAAGUCCAGGGGACAUGGCAAAAACAACACUCCAAACACCACUUCCAUUUUUGGCAAUGGGAUCCUUCAA